GAUAAGAACGCAGCGAAAUGCGAUACGUAAUGUGAAUUGCAAAUUCAGUGAAUCAUCGAGUCUUUGAACGCACAUUGCGCCCCCUGGUAUUCCGGGGGGCAUGCCUGUCCGAGCGUCAUUGCUGCCCUCAAGCACGGCUUGUGUGUUGGGCCCCGUCCUCCGAUCCCGGGGGACGGGCCCGAAAGGCAGCGGCGGCACCGCGUCCGGUCCUCGAGCGUAUGGGGCUUUGUCACCCGCUCUGUAGGCCCGGCCGGCGCUUGCCGAUCAACCCAAAUUUUUAUCCAGGUUGACCUCGGAUCAGGUAGGGAUACCCGCUGAACUUAAGCAUAUCAAUAAGCGGAGGA
rnacentral:misc_RNA from 1 species